AGAAAGUCCAAGUGAGUUUGGAUUGCUUUGCAGGCGAGUUUGGACUAUGGUUUCAAAUAACGGCUGUUAUGUUAUUUACAGGUUUUGAAGGGGGCCGUUAUUUAUAGGCAAACAGGUACUUGUAGGUGUAACAGCAAUCGUAGCGGCCGUUACCGACCAUUAAAUAACAAUAACAAACGUUACUUUGAAGAUUCCUCUACCAU
rnacentral:misc_RNA from 1 species